AAUUACGAGCCCAGCUUAAAACCCAAAGGACUUGACGGUGUCCCAUCCACCUAGAGGAGCCUGUUCUAUAAUCGAUACCCCCCGCUAUACCUAACCAUUUCUAGCCCUCAGCCUGUAUACCUCCGUCGCAAGCCUACCCUAUGAAUGAACUACAGUAAGCCCAAAGGCCCCCCGCCAACACGUCAGGUCAAGGUGCAGCUUAUGAAAUGGCAAGCAAUGGGCUACAAUUUCUAACUUAGAACAAACGGAAGACUACAUGAAACACAGUCGUGAAGGCGGAUUUAGUAGUAAAAGGGAACAGAGUGUCC
rnacentral:rRNA from 1 species